rnacentral:rRNA from 1 species
UACGGAAGGCAGCAGUGGGGAAUAUUGCACAAUGGGCGAAAGCCUGAUGCAGCUAUGCCGCGUGUAUGAAGAAGGCCUUAGGGUUGUAAAGUACUUUCAUCGGGGAGGAAAAAACAAAACUAAUAAUUUUAUUUCUUGACGUUACCCGAAAAAGAAGCACCGGCUAACUCCGUGCCAGCAGCCGCGGUAAUACGGAGGGUGCUAGCGUUAAUCAGAAUUACUGGGCGUAAAGAGCACGUAGGUGGUUUUUUUAAAGUCAGAUGUGAAAUCCCUGGGCUUAACCUGGAACUGCAUUUUGAAACUGAAAUACUAGAGUAUCGUAGAGGGAGGUAGAAUUCUAGGUGUAGCGGUGAAAUGCGUAGAUAUCUGGAGGAAUACCUGUGGCGAAAGCGGCCUCCUAAACGAAUACUGACACUGAGGGUGCGAAAGCGUGGGGAGCAAACAGGGAUUAGAUACC